rnacentral:rRNA from 1 species
UACAGAGGGGGCUAGCGUUAUUCGGAAUUAUUGGGCGUAAAGGGCGCGUAGGCGGCCACGCGUGUCUUUCGUGAAAUCCCUCGGCUUAACUGAGGACGUGCGGAAGAAACUGCGAGGCUCGAGUCCGGGAGAGGGGGGUGGAAUUCCCAGUGUAGCGGUGAAAUGCGUAGAGAUCAGCAAGAAUACCCGUGGCGAAGGCGGCCCCCUGGGCCGAACCUGACGCUGAGGCGCGAAGGCUAGGGGAGCGAACGGG